rnacentral:RNase_P_RNA from 1 species
GAGGAAAGUCCGGGCUCCACAGGGCAGGGUGGUUGCUAACAGCAACCCGGGGUGACCCGCGGGACAGUGCCACAGAGAACAGACCGCCCGGCCGUCUCGGCCGGGUAAGGGUGAAACGGUGGUGUAAGAGACCACCAGCGCCUCGGGUGACCGGGGCGGCUCGGUAAACCCCACCCGGAGCAAGGCCAAGAGGGAGCCGCGAGGCUCCUGCGCAGGCGUUCGAGGGCGGCCCGUCCGAUGCCUGCGGGUAGGCCGCUGGAGCCUGUCGGCGACGGCAGGCCAAGAUGGAUGGUCGCCCAGCGUCCGCCGCGAGGCGGGCGUGGACAGAACCCGGCGUAG